rnacentral:lncRNA from 1 species
GUUUCCGGAGAGGUUGAAAAGAGGCUUCCCGGGGCUCCCUUUGCUCUGGUUUUCUUCAUCUGAAACCAGAGAGCGGUUGGCUAGAGGAGCAAAAAGGGAUUUGAUUCUCUCAAGGUCUGAAGAUCCCUUUUCUGAUUUGGUCGCUCCUUGUGAGAUCUGGGGAAAAAGUUGCCCGGCAGAUCCAUCGGUAGCACGCGCGCUCGAGCGAGAGCGAGAAGCGAGAAGAAACGCAGGUUUUGUUUGGUAAAGGUCCUUUUUUUUAUUUUCUUGGUUUCUGGGUUUAUAGCGUCUCCGGAAAAAGCUUUUGAAUUGCACUGCGUGAGAUCUUUUCGGCAUUUUGGGUUGAUCAGUUGAUCCUUACAUUCCAUCGAUUGAGGGCAAUGUUUUCGUGUUUUUCGGCUUCAAGAGAAUCUCUUUGGGGUGGCGUUGUAUGGUGUAAGUAGGAUUGUUAUGAUUGCAUUGGUUUCGUCAUGACUUGCUUCCGAUGCUCUUCAGCGAUUGUUUGUUUUGGGUUGGUGCUCUAAGGUUGUGGGUUGAUGGUUUUGAGUUGGGAUUUGCGGAUCUUGGGGCAAUUCUCAAACUUUUACAAACAGGGUAAGGUGUUUCUAAAAUUGUUUUUGGCGUUUGAUUGAAGCGUGUUUCUUUUCUUAGCUUGGUAAUGGGCAAAUGUCAGGAUGGGUUGUUUGGCUAGAAUGAAUAUAUGACAGAGCUGGUAAAUUUCCUCCCUCCCCGGCGUCAAAAUGUGGAUUAUAUGUAGUUAUGGUGUUUUUGUCUGAAUUGUGUUUCUUGACAAACGCUGCCGAGUUUUACUUUGGCUUGGCCAAAUAUUAGCCAGUUCAUUCAACCACAUGGUCAUUUUGGUGAAUUAUUUGUUCUCGUCCGGUUAAUAUAAAGAUACGGCAAUUUUUAUGCAAAACAGGUUCUAAUAUAAACAGGGUCG